CGCGUAGGCGGCCUUCUAAGUCGAACGUGAAAUCCCCGGGCUCAACCCGGGAACUGCGUCCGAUACUGGGAGGCUUGAAUCCGGGAGAGGGAUGUGGAAUUCCAGGUGUAGCGGUGAAAUGCGUAGAUAUCUGGAGGAACACCGGUGGCGAAGGCGGCAUCCUGGACCGGUAUUGACGCUGAGGCGCGAAAGCUAGGGGAGCAAAACGG
rnacentral:rRNA from 1 species